ACCAAGAAACCAAGAAACUGAAAAUGAGGGGAUGGGCCUGGGAUAAGUGUAGAUAGUGAAGUGAAUGGGCCUCGGGCCCAAAUCUUCCACACCACCAACGAUCCAAACUCCCCAAGCUUAGUUCAAGCAAGAAGGCAAAUUCUCCCUGAAGUGUACGAUUCAAACCGGUAGCCGCCGUCGACCGAAAUGACAUACACCAAGAAGAUAAUGGAAACGCGACUCACCACUAGUGCAUCUCCGACUUCUUACGAAGAAUCAGGGAGACGAUUAGAGCAAGCGUCCACAGUCAAUGUCAAAAACCGAAAGCUAAACCAAGAAAUUCGCCUAAAAUAGAAGCGAUUGAAGGGCGGAAUCGUACCGAAUUCGUGAUUUAUAUGGAGAUGGAAAUGAAUACGAGUUCCCACACGUUCGCCUCGAUUGAUUGAGAUGAAGAGAGCAAAGUUUUUGUUGAUGUGCGAGGAAGAGUCUGAAUCCAUUCGAAACAUUGUCGCGUUGAAGGAUGAUGAAUCCGUUUGAACCGAUCGUUGUGUGGCGAUGAAGGUUGAAGGCGGAAUUACGCAACAAAUCGGAGAUGGAUCCUUCUCCAAGAUCGGUGUGUCGCUCGCGUUCUAAUCUCCUUCACUUUAUGCUUUCUUCUUCUCCUUCUGUUACUAUCUGUUUUCUUCUUCCAUUCUGUUUUGGGAUUUUGUUCGUAUUUUUCUGUUGCCGUUUACGCUUUUUGUUCGAAUCUUGUUCUUCCGCUAUAUUCUAUUUCUCCUCUUCUUUGAUAAGUUCUGAAUUGGCUUGUUGAGUUUUUGUUCUUGGAUGAGGUUUUUUAUCUCUGUUAAGUCAUUGUAUGGCACGUUUUGUUGUUUUUCAUUGUGAAUUCUGUUAGAUGAUUGAAGAGUGAUAUUGGAUUGAAGGUGAUGAAGAAUGGAAUGUGAUGAAGUGGAGUGGGAUGGUGGAGCGGUUCUGCAGAAAAUGGAGAUCGUAGUGUGAAGGGUGAAGAUAUCUGAGGAUUGAAGUGAAAAGUUGAGGUUGAAGCGAUGUUGACGGUGGCUGAAGAAUUGAGGUUGAAGGAGACGAAGGGAGAAUGAAAUGGUUUUGUUAACGGUGAAGCAGUUGAAGCCGGUGGAAAAGAAUGGAAUGAAAAAUUUGUAUGAUGAAACUCAGAUCCCCCCUCGCCUCUGAAGUGUGAAUGAAUAUAUAUAGUGAUGAGAGAGUCUAUGAUUCCGUUAGAAACUGAAUCCAAAUUCGGUUAGCAUUUUCAGUUAGAGAUGAGCGCGUUUGGAUUGGCUUUCAUGGCUUGCACUUAUGACCAGAAGCUUUGGGAUUGCGUUUCUCUAGCUGCACUUUUUGUGUUGUUUUGGUGCAUGGAUUCAGUGUAAGUUGCAGCUUAUGGUUGACGUUGCAGCUUAUGGUUGACGGUGCCGUAACAGCUUCCCCUGUUGGCUUUGUGUAGCGUUUUAUUUGGCAGUGGGGUUUUUGGAAAUAGCUUGUUGCCUUGCGUUUGUAGCUGCGUUGUGCAGCUGAUGUGUAGAAUUGAGUUUUGUCGUCGUUUCCAGAUGGUGUGUUUCAGCUUUGUAUGGCUUAGAUGACAGAUUUUUAGCUCUUUCACGUUUAGUUGUAGUCUGCAGUUCGUACUGCGUUUUCUGUUGUUGAUGGCAGCCUUUUUCAUUUGGCUUGUAUGGACUUAUUGGAUAAAGAUUUGGACAUGUGGAUAUGCAAAUGGACUUAGUGAAUUGGAUUAA